CCGCCACAGGGUCAGCGGCAGCCGUCGUGCUGCCUCCUCCCCUCAGGGGGCGGCAGCUCCCUGGCUGUUCCUUGCGGCGGAGCGGCCCGGAGCGGGGAGCCUCCUUGCAGCCUCUCCGCCUUUCCUUUUCAGUGUUCCCUCCCCGGCAGGUUUCGCACGGCGCGGCCUGGCAGCGCUUAAUGUUCCCAAAACGACUUCCUCGUGGGUUGCCAGGGGCCGCUAGGGCAGGCAGGGGUGUCCGCGGCGGGAAGGGGGCGAGGGCGGUGGUCGGGGCGCGGGAGGAGCGGGGCACCGGCCGGAGCGCUCCUGAGGGCGAUGGCGGGAGGGGCUGAGGGGAGCUGUUGGGUCUCAUGUCGGUUGAGUUGUCUCCUGGGGUCUGCGGUGGCCGGAGAAUGUCCGCAGAGCCGCUGACUCCUUUGGAGGGGUCUAAAGGGAGGGAAAAGAGCGGAGGUGACGGGAAAGCGAGGGCUGAGCUGGCCUGAAGCCGCAUCGUGAAGGGGGACGAGGUGGGUUGAAGUCUCCAAACAGAAGCCUGAGGCGUAUGACGUUUCUGCGUGUUUUCUGCUGAUUCUUGCUUGCUCUUUGUUCUCGGGUCCGGCCGGGCGCUGGAGGGGUGCUGGGUGCUUCCGUGCCACAGGGCUCGCGGAGAGCCUUGUGUAUAAACGGACCUGUCCAAGGGUUUUGCGCUGGUGUGUAUCGUCUGUGUUGGAUACAGAAGGGGUUUGCCUACUUACUGCCUUAGCAGCCACGGUGUCUGUGGGAUUUCUUAAGUCCUCAGUAAAGAUCGUCAGUGAGUACCAGAGGAGUCGGGGUAUCAGCAGCCUCCAAAGUCUGUAAAGCCUGGUGAGGCCUGCACUUUGGUAUUCCUGCUGGAAGAGAAACCAUUUCAGUAGAAGGUGGAUAGUGAGCACAGCUAAAUUCUCAUGACUAACAAAAUCAUGCCCUUGCUCUUUAUUCCCAUCUGUAAGGCUUUUCCAGAACUCAGCAUGCAUGGAAGACUCCAAACCUGAAAAACAAGAUGGCAGAUAACUACAAUUAAAACAAACAGAUAAUUUUUUCAACAUCUUCAUCACAUUUGCAAGAUAAAUAGACUGUUAGCUGGGUACUAUUUAUAUUCUUAAACAAUGUCUCAUUCUCUCAGUCAAAACCUUUUUUAACUUGUUGACAAGGAUGGUUAUCUCCUUCAUGGAUUAAAUAAUUUCAUGAAGUAUUUUUAUGCAUUUCUUAUAUUUGAAUCUUCAGUGUCCUGAUUGCUUCUACGGAAUUUUCAGAUUUACUGUUUAUGAAGAACAGUAGCCUGGCAUUUCUUUUUCUAACUGCUGCUUUUUCCUGAAAUGGUCUGGACUUUUUGCAUAAUUUAUACAAAGCUCUCCUUUCUAUAAAUGUAUUUCAUUCUGGCUUAGUAAAGCCAAGAUGCACAGAUAUGAGUUAAAAAGAGAUAAAUUCUUCAGCUAAAAUAAUGAAAAGCUGUCUUGAAACUGUUAGAAAUUAGAUAAUACUGUUUCUAUUAGAUUAUGAAACUGCAAGUAAUGACAGAUAAAUGUAGAUAAAGCAGUCUUCUCAGAAAUCUAAACUGCUAAUCAGUUAAAGAUGUUAUUUCAGAAUGCUGACCAUAGGCUAUAGGAACGAGUAGAGCAGUAUCUUUAUCACACUGGGAUUUUGGAAGAUCCAUAUUAAUUCCAGAAUAAUACAACAGAAAAGAAAGGAAUGCUUUUACCAUGCUUAAUGUAGCACUCAGGGAUGUGUUUCCAUUCUUUGCUACUGGACUUUUUAUCGCUUAAGCACUUAAGCAGAAAUUUAUUCUUGAGCUAAACAAGCAAAGAUAUUAAUGAAUGUGUAUGUUUAUAUGUAAAUAUUUAUAUAUGGUUAUACACAUGCAGUCAGAAAACUACCGUUUCAUAUUUUAUGUUAAUUAAACGGUCUUUUAUCUCUAGAUCACAAGAUUUAGAGGUAUGCUGGGAGUAUGAUGAGCAAAAGACUCUCUGAAGGUUGUUACAAAGCUGGUGUGGAUAUACUGCAUUGGUUUCAGUCCAGUUUUGACCAGAGGCAUGACCAAUCACAUUCAGUAAUUGGUUGAAUAACAGGAACUCUUUUUUUAUUUCUUACAGAGCCCAUUACUGAAAGUUUAGACGCAGACUCCAACCUCUGAGUUUGGAAUCUGCCUGAUUAAAAUAAUUUCUCCUCCUUUUCUAACAAUCUGCAGUUGUUUAGCACUUCUGUAGUACUUCUUUAAUAACACCAGCAAAUUAAGAAAAUGUCAUUGUAAAAUUCUCCCUGAAUUACUGAAUAUACUGUUAGUUGGGAUGUCUUCUGUUAUAAGUGGAAAUUGCAAGGAGACACUGUAUUACUACUCUGCUGAUGUGUGUGUCAUUCGCAGCGCCCUUUAGAAUAACUGGGAGAAACUGACUGUGGAUCCUUCCCUACAAUAACAAGAAAUUAUUAUACAAUGUUUGUCAGGUUAAUUUGAAAGCAGAAUUUGUUGUGAUUUAAACUGUGAAAAAAAAAAAGAGCUCUGAAAAUAUUUUUUAUAGUCGUUUUUUCUAACCGCCUAAUUUCUUGUAAGGACUUUCUAAUGAAUGCACUUUGGUGUGACUUCAUUAACUCACCAUUUCAAGAAGAUAGUCCAAUAUAUUUUCUUUAUCAUUAGUAGUAGAUAAAAAUAUUAAACUUGUAAUUCUUUAACUGCAGCACCAACAUCAAGCAGCUGAAUUUACACAGAGGAAUGCAAGAGCCAGCAUAUAGCAGGUGAACAAUGUGUAGUCAAGAAACAAAAAAAUUAAAAUGUAAUACUCCAGGAAAGACAAAACAAAACAAAGUUACACUUAGUUUGCAUUAAAAGCUGUAAUAACCUUGUUAACAAUUUCAUUGUGCAAUUCAGAUGGAAUAUCUAAGAAUAAAAAGCAAUAGUGACUACUGCUAUGCAAAAAUUCUUAGCAAAAGCUGUUAUCAAUUUAAUAAUUCAAAUAACGUAGCAAAUUAUACCAUUUUAUAAACUGGAAUUCUUAGGAUUUUUCUCUGUUUUAGAAGGCCAUCCAGUAUGCUGUAACUUUGGACAUCGCGUAUUUUGGUUUUAUAGUUCUCAGUUGGUAAAUGCUGACUCUUUGUUUCAGAAUAAUACAUUUAUAUUUUAAGAUUGUUUUUCUACGAGGAGUACAAUAUUUGGAAAGCGCACGAUGAAUUUCAAAGCGCUUCAGGAACAUGGUAUUGCCUCCACUGGAAUUGCUGGGAAGAUUCACAUCGACUCUACUGUCUAUAGGCCUGGACUUUUAACCUGGCCUAAAUUUAAGGACAUUCCCAUAAAACACACAAGUCCAGACCUUAUAGUUUGGUUCAUACAGGGAAAUCCUCAUGCUUAUAGAGCUCUGAGAAGUCAACAAGGCUAGACAGCAGUACUGAUCCUGUGUGAUUGGAUUACGGGACUGAAGCUGUGAUUUGUCCUACUAAAGCCACUUUAAGUUACUUAAACAGAUAAAUCCUACUAUCAGAUUUCUUUUCUUAUUGAUUACACAUUCUGAAAUGCAAAAGAAACCCCAAACCACAACAAAACAAAACCUCAUUUGCUUUCUCCACAUUUUAAAUGGAUUAUUUGACCUUCUAGUUCUGUAUUAUCAUAAGGUGUGUGUAGGACUGGAAGGACAACAGAAAUAACCUUGGGGAAAAAAUAGUAAAAGUGUAAUUUUCCUUUUUUCGUAAAACAGAUGUAAAAUACUUGUGCUUUUUUAUUUCCUCUAAGCCCAUUUCCAGUCCUUAUGUAACCCCACCCCCUCUGUAGGAUCUGCGCUAUGUGACAAGAGUUCCUGUUAUAAAGGAAAAUCAGAUCAUAUCUAUGUUGCCUCUUGCCUCAAGUUGUAAUUCACAUCUCAUUUCUGGCAAAAUGACCUAUGAAAAUUAAACCAAGAAUAUCUUCAAAGCA